rnacentral:rRNA from 1 species
AUUGAACGCUGGCGGCAGGCCUAACACAUGCAAGUCGAGCGAGUGGCGGACGGGUGAGUAAUGUAUGGGGAUCUGCCCGAUGGAGGGGGAUAACUACUGGAAACGGUAGCUAAUACCGCAUACCAUCGGAUGAACCCAUAUGGGAUUAGCUAGUAGGUGGGGUAAUGGCUCACCUAGGCGACGAUCUCUAGCUGGUCUGAGAGGAUGAUCAGCCACACUGGGACUGAGACACGGCCCAGACUCCGACGGGAGGCAGCAGUGGGGAAUAUUGCACAAUGGGCGCAAGCCUGAUGCAGCCAUGCCGCGUGUAUGAAGAAGGCCUUCGGGUUGUAAAGUACUUUCAGUCGGGAGGCGUUACCCGCAGAAGAAGCACCGGCUAACUCCGUGCCAGCAGCCGCGGUAAUUC